rnacentral:lncRNA from 1 species
AAACACAUUAAGGAAUCGUCAUAAAUAACUGUCAAAUACAGUAAUUGUUUUUCUAAUCCUACCGUUUGGGACGUUUGUCAGAAUCAAUAGGUUAAAUAAUCGUGUAAUGUCAACUGGAAGUGCAUCUAAAGCAUGGCAGUAUUUUACACGAGAUAAAGAAAAAGAAUCUGCCACUUGCAGUAAAUGCCAUGCAACUAUAAUGUGUGAAGGAUUUUUAACAAGUGGACUUCUUUGUCAUUUAAAAAAUCUUCAUAAGGAAGUGGAAAUUAAAGUAAGUAAAAAAAGACCAAAUGAAGACACAGAUUUGGAAGUUAGAAAUGUUCAACAUAAAAUUAC